UACGUAGGGGGCGAGCGUUGUCCGGAAUCAUUGGGCGUAAAGAGCGUGUAGGCGGCUUGGCAAGUCUGACGUGAAAGCCCGCGGCUCAACCGCGGAUUGUCGUUGGAAACUGCCUCGCUAGAGUCCGGAAGAGGAGAGCGGAAUUCCUGGUGUAGCGGUGGAAUGCGCAGAUAUCAGGAAGAACACCCGUGGCGAAGGCGGCUCUCUGGGACGGUACUGACGCUGAGACGCGAAAGCGUGGGGAGCAAACAGG
rnacentral:rRNA from 1 species